AUACUUACCUGACAGGAAGUUACCACAAUAACGAGGGUGCUUCCCCCGGGACCGGGUUUAUCCACUGCAGCCUGGAUAUGCUGACUCUUGCAGUCUCCCCACAUGUGGGAAACUUGACUGGAUAAUUUGUGUUAGUGAGGGAUUGUGUUCACAAUUUCCCCUG